UACAGAGGUCUCAAGCGUUGUUCGGAUUCAUUGGGCGUACAGGGUGCGUAGGUGGCGCCGUAAGUCGGGUGUGAAAUUUCGGAGCUUAACUCCGAAACUGCAUUCGAUACUGCGGUGCUUGAGGACUGGAGAGGAGACUGGAAUUCAUGGUGUAGCAGUGAAAUGCGUAGAGAUCAUGAGGAAGACCAGUGGCGAAGGCGGGUCUCUGGACAGUUCCUGACACUGAGGCACGAAGGCCAGGGGAGCAAACGGG
rnacentral:rRNA from 1 species